AAAUUCAGAAUAUUUGCUUCAAUUAUCUCCCCCAUCCACUGAUUUUAGGUUCCCAAUUUCACUAUAAAGAGCCAUGGAGAUUCAUCACCAAGAACACCAUCAACAACAAUCUUCAUCCUCUCUUCUCAUACUAAUCAGAAUUUUUCAGUCAAUAAUUCGCCGGAAAAUGUGACUAAAGGAACCCAAAAAGAAAACCCCAUAUUCUCUCUUUCAUCUGUUUCGCCCCUUCAACCCACCACCGGUGGCACGACACCGGUCUCACGCCACGCUCAGUCGCGCCCCCACCUUGCAGUCGCUCGUCGGCCACCUGCGCGACUCGCCGGAGAUCCGCCAACCAGCGCGCACUCACGUUCUCUCUCCGCCUUGCACUCUUCUCUUCUCUCCCGCGCUCUUCUUCUUCGCGCGUCACUGCUGCACGCGCAGCACCACCGAGACCCCAGCCACCGCGUCACGCUGCCGUCGUUGCUAGUUGCCGCCGGUCGUUGCCGUCAACCCCCCCGUUCGCCGGAGCCUCGCAGGUACCGAUGGUGCUAACGGGAUGGCGUAGCAGUGAGGAUUAUUUAAUAUCUAGAUUAUAUAGACUCUCGUGGUUUUAAUUUAAGUUAAUAUCAAAACUCUGAUUAGUAACUAAGUUUCAAUUAAUCAAGACUAAUGUUAAAUCCUUGUUAUAUUUUACUCUAUAAUAUGUUUAACUUUAUGAAUUUAUGUUGCCUUGUAUUUUCCUUAUGGAAAGUACGGCGGUAACGCGCCGACUAUCUAGGUUCCGCUGCUAUUAAUCGAUUAAUUACGUAACAACUUGAUUAGAGGUCGGGGUGCUACAGAUACAAUUCUUUCUUUGGCUCAUUUGGCAUCGUAAAAUCCCAACCCAAGCAUCCCUUUACCAUAUAUAUAUCAUUAAUAACCCGACGUGCUCUUUGUGUAAUUAAGAGGAUGAAGAUAUUCUACAUGUGCUUCGUGACUGUGUGGAGGCUAGAAAAAUCUGGGAUGAAUUCGGCCCUAAGCAAAACCUAAAUAGGGGGGACAGGAUGAGUGGAUUAGAGAUAACCUUCUAUGUAAGGACACACUUUUAAAUCUCCCAUGAUGGGAGGUUUUUCCCUUUAUUUGCUAUAAGUUAUGGUUGUCUCGAAAUAGGAAAAUUUUCCAAAGUGUAGAUCACCCAAGCCCUGAAGUGUUUGUUCGAAAAGUGUCCUUUAGCGUGUAGGAGUUCAUCUCGUCCAGACCUCUCAACCCGAAAAACUUUAACGUGCUUGUCUCCCAUCUCCUUUCCUUUCUCCCGAUCUGGAUUAUGUUGUACAUGUUGACGCCUCAGUGACUGACCCUCUCAAGCCGUCUUGUGUGGCGGCGUGCCUUUUUAAUAGUGUAGGUGAAUGGAUUAUGGGUUGCCAAAGGUCAUUAUGGUUGCUGAUGUUCUUAUGGCUGAGCUUCAUGCGAUCUACGAGGGUCUCCACCUUGCUAGGACGGAACAUGUUUCUAAUCUAGACCUUGUGUCUGACUGCCAGAAAGCUAAUAAUCGCAUCAAUCAAGAAGAGAAACUGCAUGAUUCAUAUGGUUAGAGAGUGCAGGGAAACUUUGCAGGGAUUCACGCAGGUGAAGUGCAUGCUCAUGAAGCGUGAUUGAAACAAGGUUGCGGAUGCUAUGGCGCGGGAGGGCAGAAUUUUGGGUAUAAAUCAAAAUGUUGUUAGGGAAAUG